rnacentral:rRNA from 1 species
UCGAAUUUCGGGGUUCUUCCGUUGGUCAGGCUAACAAGUCUGUACUAGCGUGUAGAAUCUCUACCUUCUGGGGAACCAUCAUGUUAUUAAUUUAGCGUGGUGGGAAACCAGGACCUUUUACUUAGAAAAAAUUAGAGUGUUCAAAGCAGGCUUACGUCUGAAUACAUUAGCAUGGAAUAAUAAAAUAGGACGGUGGUCCUGUUUUGUUGGUUUCUGAAUCACCGUAAUGAUUAAUAGGGAUAGUUGGGGGCAUUAGUAUUCAAUUGUCAGAGGUGAAAUUCUUGGAUUUAUUGAAGACUAACUUCUGCGAAAGCAUUUGCCAAGGAUGUUUUCAUUAAUCAAGAACGAAAGUUAGGGGAUCGAAGACGAUCAGAUACCGUCGUAGUCUUAACCAUAAACUAUGCCGACUAGGGAUCGGACGAUGUUAAAUCUUAUUGACUC